UCUGAUAAGGACAUCCAACACCUCAAAUUCCUCCUACUUUGCUUUCAGGAGAUGACUAGUCUGACGAUCAACUUCUCCAAGAGUGAGGUCAUGGUUAUGGGAUACUCCAAGGAGGAGAAGCAUCAGAUAGCAAACUGGCUUAACUGCCGAUUAGGCUCCUUCCCGAUGACUUACCUAGGCAUGCCGAUUAGCGACUCCCGUAUACUUGAAAAGGACCUCCGCCCGACAGUCUCCAAGGUCCAACACCGGGUUGAACCAUGGCAAGGUCGGUGGCUUUCCAAGGCUGCGCAAGUGGUCCUGAUUAAUUCCUCCAUGACUAGACUACUAAUGUAUCUGAUGGGAUUCUGUAGUUUAAAUGAAUCCCUCCAAAACAAUAUAACCAAGUACCAGUCCCGGUUCUUCUGGGCUGGAAAGAGAGAUAAGCAAAAGUACCACAUGGUUAGGUGGUCGGAGAUAUGCAAACCCAAGGACCAAGGUGGUCUACGGGUCAUCUCAUCCAAAAGGAUGAACAUUGCCCUUUUAUCCGAAUGGCUAUGGUGGAUCACCUCUGGUGAGGGUGGCCUUUGGCUAGACAUUAUACGCGACAAGUAUUUGCGUAGGUAG
rnacentral:rRNA from 1 species